UUCCGGUUGAUCCUGCCAGUGGUCAUAUGCUUGUCUCAAAGAUUAAGCCAUGCAUGUCUAAGCACAGCUGGUGACAGUGAAGCCGCGAAUAGCUCAUUACAACAGCCGUUGUUUCUUGGAUCUACUCUCUACUUGGAUAACUGUGGUAAUUCUAGAGCUAAUACAUGCAUCCAGACCCGACGCAAGGACGGUCGCAUUUAUUAGGACAAAACCAUCCGGUCCCCGGACCGUACUUUGGUGACUCUGAAUAACUGAGCAGAUCACACGGUCUCGCACCGGUGACGUAUCUUUCAAGUGUCUGCCUUAUCAACUUUCGAUGGUAGUUUAUGUGCCUACCAUGGUUGUAACGGGUAACGGAGAAUCAGGGUUUGACUCCGGAGAGGGAGCCUGAGAAACGGCUACCACUUCUAAGGAAGGCAGCAGGCGCGCAAAUUACCCAUUCUCGGUACGAGGAGGUAGUGACGAAAAAUACCAAGCCGAGGCUCAUUGAGUUUCGGCAUUGGAAUGAAAACAAUCCAAAUCUUUUAACGAGGAUCUAGUGGAGGGCAAGUCCGGUGCCAGCAGCCGCGGUAAUUCCAGCUCCGCAAGUGUAUAUCUAUUUUGCUGAGUUUAAAAAGCUCGUAGUUGGAUCUGCGUGUUCAGCAUCUGGUGCGGUCUCUGGCCGCCACCGGAAUGCGACACAUCGAAUGCCGGUGUGCCGUCGAUGCUCUUCAUCGGGUGUCGGCGGUGGCUGGCGAGUUUACUUUGAACAAAUUAGAGUGCUCAACGCAGGCGUUUCGCUUGUAUAUUUCUGCAUGGAAUAAUAGAAUAGGACCUCGGUUCUAUUUUGUUGGUUUUCGGAAGUGAGGUAAUGAUUAAGAGGGACUGACGGGGGCAUUCGUACUGCGACGUGAGAGGUGAAAUUCUUGGACCGUCGCAAGACGCACUACUGCGAAGGCAUUUGCCAAGAAUGUUUUCAUUAAUCAAGAACGAAAGUAACGGGUUCGAAGGCGAUCAGAUACCGCCCUAGUCGUUACCGUAAACAAUAUUGACUGGGAGCAUGUCGGCGUUUCCAAGAACCCGAUAUGAACCCAACGGGAAACCUCAAGUUCAAUUACUGGGGGAGUACGAUUGCAAAUUCGAAACUUAAAGGAAUUGACGGAAGGGCACCACCAGGGGUGGAGCCUGCGGCUUAAUUUGACUCAACACGGGGAAACUCACCCGGCCCGGACACCGGAAGGAUUGACAGAUUGAGAGCUCUUUCUUGAUUCGGUGGGUGGUGGUGCAUGGCCGUUCUUAGUUGGUGGAGUGAUUUGUCUGGUUAAUUCCGAUAACGAACGAGACUCUGGCCUACUAAUAGUCGUCGGAUCGCUUCAGUCCGACUGACUUCUUAGAGGGACAAGCAGUGCUUAGCUGCAUGAAAAAGAGCAAUAACAGGUCUGUGAUGCCCUUAGAUGUCCGGGGCUGCACGCGCGCUACACUGAAGGAAUCAGCGUGUGGGUUUGCCUGGCUCGAAAGAGCUGGGUAAUCCGGUGAAAAUCCUUCGUGAUUGGGAUCGGGACUUGCAAUUAUUUCCCUUGAACGAGGAAUCCCUAGUAAGUACGGGUCAUCAGCUCGUGCUGAUUACGUCCCUGCCCUUUGUACACACCGCCCGUCGCUGCCCGGAACUGAGCCAUUUCGAGAAAAAUGGGGACUGACGGCUUGAGGCCUUCACGGGCUUCUUGCUGACGGAAACCGCUUUAAUCGCAGUGGCUUGAACCGGGCAAAAGUCGUAACAAGGUAGCC
rnacentral:rRNA from 1 species